rnacentral:rRNA from 1 species
GACGAACGCUGGCGGCGUGCUUAACACAUGCAAGUCGAACGAUGAAGCCUAGCUUGCUAGGUGGAUUAGUGGCGAACGGGUGAGUAAUACGUGAGUAACCUACCUUUAACUCUGGGAUAAGCCUGGGAAACUGGGUCUAAUACCGGAUACGACCAAUCUCCGCAUGGGGUGUUGGUGGAAAGCGUUAUGUAGUGGUUAUAGAUGGGCUCACGGCCUAUCAGCUUGUUGGUGAGGUAACGGCUCACCAAGGCGACGACGGGUAGCCGGCCUGAGAGGGUGACCGGCCACACUGGGACUGAGACACGGCCCAGACUCCUACGGGAGGCAGCAGUGGGGAAUAUUGCACAAUGGGCGCAAGCCUGAUGCAGCGACGCCGCGUGAGGGAUGACGGCCUUCGGGUUGUAAACCUCUGUUAGCAGGGAAGAAGAGAGAUUGACGGUACCUGCAGAGAAAGCGCCGGCUAACUACGUGCCCGCAGCCGCGGUAAUACGUAGGGCGCUAGCGUUGUCCGGAAUAUUUGGCGUAAAGAGCUUGUAGGCGGUUUGUCGCGUCUGCUGUGAAAGGCCGGAGCUUAACUCCGUGUAUUGCAGUGGGUACGGGCAGACUAGAGUGCAGUAGGGGAGACUGGAAUUCCUGGUGUAGCGGUGGAAUGCGCAGAUAUCAGGAGGAACACCGAUGGCGAAGGCAGGUCUCUGGGCUGUAACUGACGCUGAGAAGCGAAAGCAUGGGGAGCGAACAGGAUUAGAUACCCUGGUAGUCCAUGCCGUAAACGUUGGGCACUAGGUGUGGGGAACAUUCCACGUUUUCCGCGCCGUAGCUAACGCAUUAAGUGCCCCGCCUGGGGAGUACGGCCGCAAGGCUAAAACUCAAAGAAAUUGACGGGGGCCCGCACAAGCGGCGGAGCAUGCGGAUUAAUUCGAUGCAACGCGAAGAACCUUACCAAGGCUUGACAUAUACUGGAUCGCAUCAGAGAUGGUGUUUCCCUUCGGGGCUGGUAUACAGGUGGUGCAUGGUUGUCGUCAGCUCGUGUCGUGAGAUGUUGGGUUAAGUCCCGCAACGAGCGCAACCCUCGUUCUAUGUUGCCAGCACGUUAUGGUGGGGACUCAUAGGAGACUGCCGGGGUCAACUCGGAGGAAGGUGGGGAUGACGUCAAAUCAUCAUGCCCCUUAUGUCUUGGGCUUCACGCAUGCUACAAUGGCCGGUACAGAGGGUUGCGAUACUGUGAGGUGGAGCUAAUCCCUAAAAGCCGGUCUCAGUUCGGAUUGGGGUCUGCAACUCGACCCCAUGAAGUCGGAGUCGCUAGUAAUCGCAGAUCAGCAACGCUGCGGUGAAUACGUUCCCGGGCCU